rnacentral:lncRNA from 1 species
CAUGCUAAGCAUACUUUCAUAUCAGAUCCUAUAAUUUUACUGUUUUUGCUAUCUGAAAUUUUCACCGCUUCACACCAGACAAAAUCCACCAGAAGAGGCCACACUUAUGCUACUUUUAAGUCUUUGUAUAUUUCCAAACCCUCAUCAAAGGUAACCACUCUGCAUUCGUCUCCUACACACACACACACACACACACACACAAAAACCUGUUCAUUCACAUGUCUCUCAUCAUAUUGCCUG